rnacentral:rRNA from 1 species
GAUGAACGCUGGCGGCGUGCCUAAUACAUGCAAGUCGAGCGAACAGACGAGGAGCUUGCUCCUCUGACGUUAGCGGCGGACGGGUGAGUAACACGUGGAUAACCUACCUAUAAGACUGGGAUAACUUCGGGAAACCGGAGCUAAUACCGGAUAAUAUAUUGAACCGCAUGGUUCAAUAGUGAAAGACGGUUUUGCUGUCACUUAUAGAUGGAUCCGCGCCGCAUUAGCUAGUUGGUAAGGUAACGGCUUACCAAGGCAACGAUGCGUAGCCGACCUGAGAGGGUGAUCGGCCACCCUGGAACUGAGACACGGUCCAGACUCCUACGGGAGGCAGCAGUAGGGAAUCUUACGCAAUGGGCGAAAGCCUGACGGAGCAACGCCGCGUGAGUGAUGAAGGUCUUCGGAUCGUAAAACUCUGUUAUUAGGGGAGAACAAAUGUGUAAGUAACUAUGCACGUCUUGACGGUACCUAAUCAGAAAGCCACGGCUAACUACGUG